AUCCAGGGGCAGCCACAGCUUCUCUGGACAACCUGUGCCAGGGCCUCACCGACCUCACAGGGAACAAUUUCUUCCUGAUAUCCCAUUUAAAUCUCUCCUCUGUUAAGUUUAAGGCCUUUCUCCCUUUACCUGUUGUUCCUCUUCCCACCACAGCUCUCUGGAGUCACAGGGGAAUGGGAGAUGCUGGAUGUAGACAUCUGGCAUUGCCCAGGAGGGCUGUUUGUCCCUGUGACAGUGCCUUGCUCCCCUGUUCUUUUCCUGCAGCUUUUCUGGAGCCAAUUCCCAGCUCUUUGAGUUGCUGGGCCUGCUCUCGCUGUUGCAGUGGCUCGUGCUUGACAACCUGGCUCCAUUUCCUUUCCCAGGAAAAUGGUACAAAAGCACAGAGAAUGAACACAACCUGUGUGUUGGGAUCAAGCCACUGUCCUUGGCUUUGCUGUGUUCCCUGUGGUGCCUCCUGCAGCCCUGUGGGAUGGUUUUCCAGGAGGCUGGAAAGCAAAGGUCAACGAGAAGGAGAAGUUGUUCUCUGUGUCAGGCUCCUUCCAACUUUGCUGUAAGGUCUCUGAAGGACAGCAUGUAUUUCAUGUAUGUCUCUCUCUGCUGCCUGAUCAGCAUUUCUGCAUGUGUUUGGCACUUGCCAGACCUCUGGCAUCCCUACUCCUGUCCAGCUUAACCUGUAGGAAAGCAGCUCUUGGGAAUACUGCAGGUAGAAGAUCAGCCUCCUGCACUAUCUCCUGCAGCUUUUUGGCUUCCCAGCUCCUCCAAGACACCCUGACCUAAUCCAAGAGCCCCUUUGUGUCCUAUCCCCGGUGCUGUGCCUGCAUUGCCAGCAUUGAGCUCCUGCUCAGCCUUUCCCAGCAGCAGGGAGGGCAGGGUGGCACUGGCACUGGGGUCUCCCAUCCUGCUGGGGUGAGGGAUGGCAGCUCCUGCAGAGGAGAGCUUGGUCUUGGACAGCUCUUGGAGGCUUUCCAAGCCUGGCUUUGAAGUUGGCCAAGUGUCUGACUUGUUUUGAUGGUUUUUAUGCCUUUGAGCAGUUUUCUGUGUUUAUUUUGGGGUGAUAUCCCAGCACCUCAGCUGCUGCUGGGAGGACGCUCUGGGAGGGAACCAUCCCUGAAAACAACCCUCCCUUCAGCAGCACAUGGCAAAGCUCCUGGAUUUCACAUUCAGUGGGAGGCACAGGAGGUAUUUUGGACUGCAAACUGUGGCUUUAAAAAAACCCACUCAGCAGUGAUUUGAGGCUUUCUUCUCAAAGCCUUUCUGACUUUGAAUAUACAUUGCGUCUGUUUUUGUGAGCGGGCUCUCCAGCAAGACAGACCUGUUCCAGGGAUUGUUGUGCCUCAGGUAUCAGCUGUUCCUUUUGUAGAUGGGAUGGCUUAGGCCCCCAUUCCCUGCCAUCCUGUGGGUUGAUUUCACCUUCCUUCCCAUCGUGGCAUCUCAGAGAAAGCUGCAGAGCAGCUGUGUUGUCUUAGUGCAGCUGUAAUGUGUGUUUGUCCAGGUGCUGCCGUUGGGGCACAGCAGGACUAGGAAGAUGUUUUAUGAGAUCAUUUCCAAGCCCUGAUAAUCUCUGAGUCUCUCUAGGAUCUGUGGAUAUCAGCUGUGCUGCUUUUGCUUCGUGGGAUGGGGUUGGAACCUGAAGAUGGGAAAUCACUUGUGUGUGAUCCCUUCUCUGCCUCGUCUCGGUGUUACCUCUCCCCUCCUGGCUGCUUCCAGUGGCCAAAGAGGGGUUAGUCCUUGUAUUCCAGACCUAAAACCAUGUUGGGGGAGUUCAAACACAGCUUAGCAGCUUCAGAGAGGAUCCUACCUGCUUGUUUGUGGAGCUGGCUGGUGGCACUGGAGACCUUUCCCCGCAGCCUGGAUCCCAGGGAACGUUCCCAUUCCUGCACCACUGAGAGCCAGCAUCGAGAUUACGAUCGUGGAGAAAAUCCUCCAGCAGCCCCCAGCUGAGAGCAGAGCUGUCCCUGCACAGCCCUGCUGGAGGAGAAGCUCAACAAGACAUGGCCAUGGCUGCUGGGACCCAGAACCCCCCCCGUGUGCUGGGCUGUGCCCAGGGAAGGGUGGGCAACAGGUGAGGGGGGAUUGUGCCCUUCUGCCCUGCUCAGGUGAGACCCCACCUGCAGAGCUGCCUCCAGCCCUGGGGAACAACAUCAGGAGGACAUGGAGUAAGUCCAGAGGCAGCCAUGGAGAUGCUCCAAGGGCUGGAGCCCCUCUGCUCUGGAGACAGGCUGGGAAAGCUGGAGACCUUAGAGCUCCUUCCAGGGCCUAAAGGGGCUCCAAGAGAGCUGGAGAGGGACUUUGGACAAGGGCCUGGAGUGACAGGACAAAGGGGAAUGGCUUCCCAUGGCCAGAGGGCAGGGCUAGAUGGGAUAUUGGGAAGAAAUUGUUCCCUGGGAGGGUGGGGAGGCCCUGGCACAGGUUGCCCAGAGAAGCUGUGGCUGCCCCUGGAUCCCUGGAAUUGUCCAAGGCCAGGUUGGAUGGGGCUUGGAGCAACCUGGGCUAGUGGGAGGUGUCCCUGCCCGUGGCAGGGGGUGGGAUUAGAUGAGCUUUAAUGUCCCUUCCAUCCCAAAGCAUUCCAUGAUUCAUUUUAUGAACCCUACCUUCUCUCCUGGCUCCCUGCAGAGUGAGAUUUCCUCUCUUUUGGAAGGGUCAAGAUUUCAAGUCAAGGCCCUCAAUUCACUGACCUCUGUUUUGUCCAUCCAGCAGAAUUCCAGGCUGUGUGGUGGGGAGAUGAUUCGAGCUGUGGUUUUGGGAUGACAGCAGUGCCAAGGGGACGAAUGAUCUUUCUGUCAGUGCAGUGGAGGCCACUGUGCACUAUUGAUUUUUUUUUAUUUUUUUUUUUUUGUUUGCUUAGCAGAAGACUCCAUUCAAAGCAGUGUAAAAUACUCUUUAAAUAUUAAUGCUUUUCCCCACUGCUUUCCCUCUCUGCCCCCAUCUCUUGUUUUGCCCGUGCUGCUGGACAGCUGGAGGAUAUUCCCACCAAAUGAUUAGCAGGUCCAGGAUGGUGCAUAAAACACUCAGCAGUGCCCCUUUACCAGGCAAGCAACUUGACAUUUAUUGCCAGUGCUGAAAGCAUCUACAAACAGAGAUUUAGCAUCAGCCUCCAGGCUUAAGAUACAGCUGUUAUAUUUUCCUUUCUCCCUUUAUCUUUUUUUUUUCCCCUCUCCUUUUGCACUAAUGUAAUGCUUAUUUAGGAACUGCAGCCAUCUGUGGCUGCUGUGGAUGGCACUGUUAAAGUUGCUAUUGCUUUCUUUCCCCUGGUUUGAUGAGCUUCCCAGUGCACAGAGAAUUUCCCAGGACAGCAGAGACUUUUUUUGAUUGCUUUAUUUGUAUAAUUUUUUUUUUUAUAACCCCUGAAAGAGAUGGUUCACGGUGCUGGGAAAAGGUGGUCAGCUGGAGAGCCAAGGAUCCUGCCUUUUGCUGGGUUAACAAGGUGAGUUUAUGAAGAACCAGCCAUAAAAAAACUUGGUGGAAUUAGAAGGGAUCAUGAAUAAAAAGGGAGGGAAGGAGGAAGGGCUGGGACUGGAGCUCUUCCUGUUCCUCCCACCAGCUUGUGGUUGAUGAUGAGAUGGAUCACGUGGGAAUUGGGGCAGUUGCAGCAAUCCAGGGAAUUUUUUUAGUGUUUUUUUUCCAGUGAAAUGAUCCUGUGCCCCUGGAUGGACAGGGAGCUGUCCCAAGCUGGAAAUCAUGGCACAACAAGGACAAGGUGUGGCUCUGGCAGCAGGAACUCAGAUAUUUCUGUUGGAGAGGCAGAAGUUGAUUCCUUCUUGUUUUGUCACCAAGUUGCUUUCAAAUGGCUCGUGUUCACCCUGGUGAGGAAAGCAGGGUAGGAAAUGCCUUCUCUGAAAGGCUGGACUGGCACUACUGGGGUGGAGAGCUGCAGCCUUUAGCAGAGUAAGCAGAUACCAGACUAUGAGCAUUCUUCUCCAUGGAGGAUUUCCAAGGCACCAGCCUCUGAAAUGCUCCUGGCUGCUGCUCUUCUUGGAGAGGAGUCAGUCCCUUGUCACCAGGGAGACAUCUGCCAACCUGAGCCCACAGAGGGAGGCUGAGGCAUUUAUGUCCUGGGGACCCUCCACUGCUGUCCUGCAUAUCCUCUGGCAUGGAACACAUGGUCCAUGGCCUGAGAACAUCUGAGCAGACCCUCUGAGGAGGUUGGACUUGGUGACUUCAGUGUCCUGUGCUAACCCAGGAUCCUCCUGCUCCCACCAAAGCACCAGCAGCAGCGUUGUAGUGACCAGAGAGCAUCACAUCUGCAUCCACCUCUGCUCAGAGGACUUGACUCACUCCAUUUGACCAGCUGUGCCAUGUCCUCAGGCUUCCAGGAGGCUUCAAGGAGACUCUUUUCCCAAGGUAGUGGAACAGUGUCCAUGUGUAAACUCACUUUGCCCAUGGAAGUGCCCGAAGGUGAGCAGGGCCUGGGUGAGUCUCAGCCUGAUGGUCUCACAGAGGUAUUUAGAGAAGGACUGGGAAAGGGAAAGAAGUAAAGACUGACUUAUUUGUGAUGUUUCUGGUCUUGGGAAUUGGCCAACCAAGGGUCUGGCAAGUCCCCAGUGACAGAGCUGUCUAUCAAAACAAGGGGUGUGAGUGGCAGUGGAGUGAGAAGCAGCACCUUUGCCUGAAUAAGAGGAUUUUCUGUCUCUGAAACUCCUACUGCUUGGCUGGAGCCAUUUUUGAGUGGGAAUGGAGGUGGUGGUGGGUACCAGUGACUGGCACUGAGCACCUGUACAGCAGCUGCAGGUGGGAUGGAGCUUCCUUCAGGGUCUGGGUUGGCAGCAAGGUGGGGGACAACCCUGGGACAGCCCAAACAGGGAGGGGUCAGCCCUGGUCUGAGGCUGGAGAACCUCUGUCUCACUCAGGCAACAGGGGUUUGAACCUGAAGCAUCUGGGGGUGGCCCUGGGCAGGGCUGGGAGUUGGACUCGUGAUCCUUGUGGGUCCCUUCCAGCUCAGCCUGUUCUGUGAUCUGUGCUGCUGCCUGUGGUCCUUGUCCCUCUCCUGUAAGGAGCUUUAGUUUUCAUUCCAAAGGAGAAUGAAUAAUCCUCGGGGGCUGGUGGCAGGAGGAAUCGUCGCCCUUCCUUCGGCUCUAUCAGAAACUCCUCAAGAGGCCGUUAACAAAUAACCUUCCCUCGGGAGAAAUUAGCUCCCGGUCCCAAUUCAAUAGCUGCUCGUUUGGAGAUGUCCUUGUUACCUUGUGCGAGUGGCUGAUCUCCCUUUGAAUCCCGCUGUUCCCGGCCCCCGUGAUUGCUCCCGGCAAUCACGAGCUGCACAUUAGCAGCUCAUGCACUGAUUGCCGAGCGAUCCCAACACAACCUUUUGUGAAAAGUUUGGGCGAGUUCAGAGCUCUGCGCUCGGGAAGCUGCACAGAUCUCGCUCCUCACACGCCCUGGCGAGUGAGGCUUCAGACGAGGGCUGGUUUGCAGGGGCUGCUGUGCAGGGGAGAUCUGUGCUUGGAGGCUGGCUUUAGAAACAAAAUCUUGUAGGCAUUGUCAAGGAAACCUGGUGAGAGCACGGAGUUGUCCGACAGCCUUCAGGCAGCCUGGAGCAAAAGCUCUGAGAUGUGCAAAUAGGAAUCCAAACGGAUUUUUUUUCCCCUUCCAGCCCAUUGUUGCAGAAUAGGAGAAUGGCACUGGGAUAGCUCAAAAAAAACCCUGAAAACCUCCUGCUGUGUCUUCUUGCCCUGACCUUCCAAUGAGAGCUUGCUUUCCAGGUGUGUUCACGUGGGAAUAUUGACAUUUGGGAGCCAGGUAUGAUGGUGUGAUGUUCCAACAUGAAAAUGUUAUCAAGGAAAUUUGUUCCAGCAACUUUCCCCUGCAGGUUUUCUCAAGGUUUUCCCUCUUCUCUCCCAUUCUCCUGCAAAUGUCCUACACCACGUUUUCCAUUAAUUAUUAAAAAAAAAUAAAUUACAAAAUCCUCA